GCGGGCAUAGAUUAAUGGUAGAUCAUUUGUCUUCCAAACAGCUAGUACGAGUUCGAAUCUCGUUGCCCGCA
rnacentral:tRNA from 1 species